CUUCAUUUAACCUUAAUUACUUCCCCCAAGUCCCAGUGUCCAAAUACAGACACUGGGCUUAAAAUGUCCACAUAUGGCUAUGGACAUGAGCCAGAUACAAUUCAGCCUGUCACAGUUCUGUUGCUCCAUCAGUCUGGAAUCUCUGCCUGCGCAUUGCUAUUCAUCAAGGAGAGAUGGGGAACAUUCCUGGUGUGAAAAAACAUUGGCACAAAGCAAAGGAACACAGUGGAAAUUCAAGCAGAGUCAGGUCCUAAAUACCUGUGUGCAACAUGGAUGCUAUUGUUCCAAAUAAUGAAGCUUUUCCAGUACCCUGAUCUCUGCACUCAUGAGGCUGGCACUCAGGGUGGAGUUCACUGAACCGAAGUGCAUGCUCACAGCUUACAUCUAGCCAGGGGACAGAAAGAUUGGCUCACAUAGACUUUAUGGACCAGCAGCUGCUGGCCUCAUGGGACCAAGGCCUUCUGGGAGUUCAGAUGCCUGAGGAGCCCGUUCAUUGACUCCACCAGUGAAUGCCAGUACAGGCACAGAUGUGAUGUCCUUGCUUCCUGUUGAAGGUGAGCACAUAGAAACAGAUACAUCUAUACUCAUCACGGCUAGCAUGGUACCUGGAAAAUGAUGCUGGUAGCUGCAGAGGAGCCAAGUGGAAUUUGGAAUUUGUCUUUUAAAAUUAAACCUCUGAAUUUACCUGCUGUAUUAUUUUAAUUUUUCACAGCAUUUAUUUAUUUAUUUGUUUGUUUGUUUUUUAUUUAUUUAGUGCACUGUCAUGGCAGGGGGUGUCAGAGACAACUCAUGGGAGUUGUUUCUCUCCUACAACAAUGUAGGUUCCAGGUAUCAAGUGCAGGUCUCAGACUUUGAAAUGAGUGCCCUUGCCUGAUGAACCAUCUUGUUGGACUUAUAUCCACUUUUUAAGAUAAAAUAAGCUGUUAAUCAGGGCUCUCUGGGUGAGCAGGAUUGGUAGCUAAAUAUAUAAUACAAAGGGGACUUAUUAGGUUGGCUUGUGCUGUACAUUCAAUAAUAGAUAUCCACACAAUGGAAGGGCUGAGGACCCAAUUGUUGCUCAGUCCACAACACUUGGUGCCUCGGUGGUCCCAAUUUGGUACUGAAGGCCCGAAGGAUUCCUGGACAUCCACUGGUCAUCAGUCCAUGUUGGAAGUGGAAGAAACCAGGUUCUUAUGCCAAACCAUCAGCAGGGUGGGUCUAGUCACCAGCAGUGGGUGAAAGUGUACAAACAAAGUUCAACAUUGGAUUUCUUUAUAUCUGGGCCACCACAAGAAGGGACCAUCAGCUUUACCCUUCAGUCAGCCCUCCCAGGAAAUAUCCCCCCAGGCCUGCAGAGAAGCAAGUUUCUUAGUUGAUUCCAGAUCCAAUCAAGCUGACAAGCAAGAUCAAACAUCACACUGACAGUUGCCAUUAUCGUGGUACCACAGUUUGGGGUGUUGAUCUGAUCAUUUUAGAAAGAAAAACUUAGGAUGAUAAUGCUACUGACUUCUGUAGUUCAAAUGUGUUCCUUCCAAAAUCCACAAUGAAACUUAAUCCUCAAAGCAAUGCUACCAUAACGUGGGGUCUAUAGAUCUUGAGGUAUCCACCUCACCAACGGGGUUAAAGCCUUUUCUCACUCCAUUCCUUCCACAAGUGCAAAUUCAAGAUAUCAUCUUGGAAACAGAGUUGAUCCACUGCCAGCAUUUCUAUCUGGGUCUCCCCAGCUUCUAGAGCUGUAAAAGAAUGAAUGUCUCUUUUUAAUAAAUUGACCAGCCUCAGAUAUUUUGUUACAGCAGCUCACAGGAACUAAUGCACCAUGAUUGAUGUAAAGUUCAAAAUCGGUCUUAACUGCCCUGGAUAUAUGCUGCCAGGACCACUAGAAUAAAAGCAUUAUACCAGUAUAUGAAUGGUUAGAGCAUACUUAGGUGUUGGUGGUGGCUAUAUCUGAGGAGGGGACUCAAAUUCCACACAUACCUAGGUAGGAUUCAGGGAAAGACAUGGCCAUGGAAGUUUCUGGUUAAUGGAGAUAACAGAGAAAUGGCAUUGGGAAGCACCAUUAGCAUUAUAGAUUAGCAAACUGAGCCUCCCUCCUGUCUGCAAUUAACAAACAUUUCAGACCUGUUUGAAGAGAAAAAUACACAUAACCUGAUCUAUUAUUUUGCCAAUGGAGAAAUGGUCAACCAACAGGUGAAAUGACUUGUCUAAGAGAAAACAGCUGGCUGGUGGCAGAGGUGCAUAUGCCUACAACGAGGAUUUCUGACAUUUAGAGUGAUGUCAGUAGAAAUAGAGUUUCUAGGUGGGAACUCAACACACAAACAGUAUUUUUUUCUAAUUUCUCCCUGCAGUGACCUUGUCCACAUCCCUGGAACUUGUAAAUGUGUCUUUGCAGUUAUAACUAAUGGAGGCUCUUGAGAGAGUAUUCUAUGUCGGUGGGCUCUAAAUACAACCAGAGUGUCUUGGAGAGAGAAAACAUGGGCAGAGAAGGAGAGGGCAACAUGACCACAAACACAUUAAUUAGAUGAUGCAGCUUUAAAAAAAAAGCCACCAAACACCAGAUGCUGGAAGAGCCAGGGAAAGUCUUCUUCUCCAGCUUCCUUCAGAUUUCUGGAUGCCGAAGCCUUGUAAGAAUACAUUUCUGUUGCUUUAAACCUCAAGCUGAGUGUGACAUGUCACAGCGAUGCCAGGCACCUCACACUUUACACACUGAAGAAGGAAAUCCCAUUUCCUAAUUCUGCUGUCACUUCUUGUCCCUCUUGAAUGAGGAUAGUCACAGAUCACUUGUUAUCUUAAGUAAAUGGCAGUUAGUGCUACCAGGGCCCCCAGCUCAGCACUACAGCCUCCCUGGAAUCCAGGGUAAUGUACUGGAGAGAGAGCCCAGUUUGGCUCAUUGAAUCUUAGGAAAUUUUAUUGAUCUCAUGAUGCCUGCUGGCAUCUUGGGGACAGGCAAUAAAAUAUUGCAAGCUUCUUCCAGUCUUCAGUAAGAAAAUUCCAUUACUAUUGAUACUGUUUUUAUGUCUAUUCAUGUUGUAUAAUUUCCCCCAUCCAUCCUACCCAACAGUUACCACAACCAUCUACAUCACACACUGUGCUCCUGAUGACGUCUCAGGAAGUCCAGAGGAAACAAACCUACUGUGUGGGCUCAUAAGUCAGGGAUUGUGAGUUGAGGUCACACCUGGUCACUGCGUGUGAGCAUGAGGCAUCACAUAAUAUCCCCCUUGCAAAUCUGGCAAAGUCCCCAUAGAGCUCUGGGUACCUCAACAUCCCAACACAUUAUGUGUCACUGCCCAGGUUCAUCUUCAACAAACAGGACCAGUACAGAAAUACAGAAACUCUGUAUGAUCAAGAAGCAAAGAAGGGAAGGGCUUCCAUUCUAAGAGUUCUGAGACACAUGGCUACAUUCCCCUCCCUCAACCUCAAAGGGUGAUCUUGGCUGACAAAAUCAGUGACUAGGGACGCCUGGAAUGUUUUGGUCAAGUCUUCCUGGCCCUUUAAUUUCACUCUAAAGGAAAAUCUGCCUAACAAAUUGUUGCAGUUAAUUUUCAGGCUUUCCCUAAAGACUUUCAUUCUCUGAUGGACUCAGCAAACUGAAGAUGUUCAUUAAAUUAAAAUUACUUUUUGGCUUUGAACGACAACAUGUUUCCUGGAGCAGUGUUGCUUGGACAUAGAGUAGUGUUUUGCUUUGUUUUAAAAGAGAUCAAACUGUUUCUUGGUAUAUGACCAAGGCAGCAGCAUUAAUCCUUCCAGCUUCAGGGAAGAAUAGUUUUUCCAUGAAUAUGGCAGUGGCUUCACAUUUUUUGGGAAUAUAUAUCCACAAAUCUUACUGAGAUAAGUCUAAGUUUGCACAAAUUUUUGUACUUUAACUGUGUAUCAAAGUUCUCUAAGAUUUGCUGAUUUGCUCACUGGUGUGUAGUUUUGCA